rnacentral:rRNA from 1 species
GGAGGAAGGUGGGGAUGACGUCAAGUCAUCAUGGCCCUUACGAGUAGGGCUACACACGUGCUACAAUGGCAGAUACAAAGAGAAGCGACCUCGCGAGAGCAAGCGGAACUCAUAAAGUCUGUCGUAGUCCGGAUUGGAGUCUGCAACUCGACUCCAUGAAGUCGGAAUCGCUAGUAAUCGUAGAUCAGAAUGCUACGGUGAAUACGUUCCCGGGCCUUGUACACACCGCCCGUCACACCAUGGGAGUGGGUUGCAAAAGAAGUAGGUAGCUUAACCUUCGGGAGGGCGCUUACCACUUUGUGAUUCAUGACUGGGGUGA